CCUACGGGAGGCUGCAGUGGGGAAUAUUGGACAAUGGGCGAAAGCCUGAUCCAGCCAUGCCGCGUGUGUGAAGAAGGCCUUCGGGUUGUAAAGCACUUUCAGUGGGGAAGAAAGCCUUUGGGCUAAUACCCUCGAGGAAGGACAUCACCCACAGAAGAAGCACCGGCUAACUCCGUGCCAGCAGCCACGGUAAUACGGAGGGUGCGAGCGUUAAUCGGAAUUACUGGGCGUAAAGCGCGCGUAGGCGGUCUGAUAAGCCGGUUGUGAAAGCCCCGGGCUCAACCUGGGAACGGCAUCCGGAACUGUCAGGCUAGAGUGCAGGAGAGGAAGGUAGAAUUCCCGGUGUAGCGGGGAAAUGCGUAGAGAUCGGGAGGAAUACCAGUGGCGAAGGCGGCCUUCUGGACUGACACUGACGCUGAGGUGCGAAAGCGUGGGUAGCAAACAGGAUUAGAUACCCGUGUAGUC
rnacentral:rRNA from 1 species